rnacentral:rRNA from 1 species
CAGUCGCCGGGGAAUACGUAGGUGGCAAGCGUUGUCCGGAAUUAUUGGGCGUAAAGCGCGCGCAGGUGGUUUAAUAAGUCUGAUGUGAAAGCCCACGGCCCAACCGUGGAGGGUCAUUGGAAACUGUUAAACUUGAGUGCAGGAGAGAAAAGUGGAAUUCCUAGUGUAGCGGUGAAAUGCGUAGAGAUUAGGAGGAACACCAGUGGCGAAGGCGGCUUUUUGGCCUGUAACUGACACUGAGGCGCGAAAGCGUGGGGAGCAAACAGGAUUAGAUACCCCUGUAGUCCCUGUCUCUUAUACA